UGCUUUGGUAGUACACAUAUUACUAAUAUUGGAAUGAUAGAGAAGGUUAGCAUGGCUGCUGUGCAAGGAUGAUAUGCAAAUUCAUGAAUUGUUCCAUUAAAAA